CUUUCAACGAAACCACUGAAGAUUUGACAAAUGAGACGAAUGACCCCCUGAGACUUCAUGUUUCACAGGGAAUUUGCAAUGAAAUCAAAUUAACAGGCAAAUUUUAAGCAUGCCGUUUUUGCCAUUAAACAAAAAUCUUUUUAGCACUUCCUUUCUCCACGUUAUCUAACUUUGUUACGCUUCAAUCAUAUCUCCUGUGAAAGCAGUGCCAAUUAUUUACUCGUUAAUGUCAGAAGGUCUCUGUCUCCAAACAUGUGCACGUACCACAUCGCUCUGCACGGUGCCUUUCAGCAGCUACAGCUGAGACAAACAGAUCCGUUCUGGAGGACGUGGUGGACUCUGACAGCUUGGCAGCUUCUUCCAGCUGCAGAAGGGGUUGCUGUCUGCCCAGAUGCAUCCCCCAGCUCCGACAGGACGGAGCCGCCUUCCUGCAAGGAGAGCUUUUUGCAAGACCAACGGACACCAGGAAAGGCAGAGUGUCACAUCCCUUUGCACUGACCUCCUUGGGAAGCGGUCUUCUCUUCUUCCUGCCUGUGCAGCCUCAGCGUGUCCCCAUUCUGCCCCUUCCUCAGCCCUAGCUAACACAGCCCGCCUCCCCUCCUGUCAGGAAAGCAUUGCACAGAACCUGCAGAUCUUCCCCAUCCAGACCGUGAUUCUCAAUUAUCAUUCCCAUAACCUGCCCCACUCUUUUGGGAUCUUCCCUAUCAGUUCCCAACAUUUCCUUCCAUGUCAUUACAUCUGAAGUAGUAAAACAUUUUUGAUCAUCUACCGGAGUUCCCUCUGGGCCCACCACUUCUCUUCAAAUGCCUUGAACUGCUGCUCUUCCCCUUCUGGUCCUUACAGCCAUUGGGUUGAAAUGUUCUUCUGGCUGUUCCUCUUGGACUUCUUACUCCCCUUUUCCUCACUGCCCGACCUACCACAGUGGGUAACAGGAGCUCUAUGUUCUCCCUUCUCCCUCCUCUGCCUCCUUCAUCUUACAUCUUUUACCUACACUACAUGCUGAACAACAUCACUGUAUUGUAGACAUUGCCCUCUAUUUUCCCAAAGCCAAAACAUUUGUGUCCGUGGACACUAACCCACAUUUCUGACAUCUUUCAUCAUUUCUUAAUUCAAGGAGCAAAUCCGCACACAGCGCUUCAUCCCAUUUUCCUUCUCUGCUAUAAGAUAACAUUAAUUGCUAAAUGGCAUCACAGAGAACCAUUUUCUUGAUCUUCCCAAAUACACACUGGACACCAGAGAUUGCAAUACGUUAUCAGUUUUCUUCAAGCUACGAGGCCUCCCUGAGACUUCCCUCAAUAUCCCACAACUCAGUCAUUUGGGGAACUUUGUCCCCCAUGGAUUGUACAUUACCCAGCUUACUGAUCAGCAAAACAAUAAUACCCUUAAGUCAAAUGAACCAACCUCCCCGAACUCCAGUCAUCACUGUGAUAGCAUGCGGGAAAAUACCAACAUGCCGACUUUAAGGCACCAAUCCCCCCAGUUCCUGCUUAUGACAUUACAGUAUCGCUCCACUGGAUACUGAACAGCUCCUCAGCACCUGCUGGGGAAUCACAGGGGGAGUCCCUGGAAAAAUUAUCUGAUGCAUGCUGGAGUCCAGCUUAGGACACCAACCUGGCAGCGGUGAGAAGAUGGGUGAAGUUCAAUCCAAAUGUCCCGUCUGGGUCACCAAAACUGUUGUCAACUUUAAACCUCCUGAAACACAUCUGAAAAAAAAGUGUUGCGAGAGGGGAAAUCGAUUUAUUCUGCACAGGGCGCAAGGUGGGAAAUCUCCACAAAUCAACGGCAUGCAGUUUUUACACUCUCUGUAUGCUCACCC
ensembl:lncRNA